rnacentral:rRNA from 1 species
AGCGAACGCUGGCGGCAGGCCUAACACAUGCAAGUCGAACGAACUCUUCGGAGUUAGUGGCGGACGGGUGAGUAACACGUGGGAACGUGCCUUUAGGUUCGGAAUAACUCAGGGAAACUUGUGCUAAUACCGAAUGUGCCCUUCGGGGGAAAGAUUUAUCGCCUUUAGAGCGGCCCGCGUCUGAUUAGCUAGUUGGUGAGGUAAAGGCUCACCAAGGCGUCGAUCAGUAGCUGGUCUGAGAGGAUGAUCAGCCACAUUGGGACUGAGACACGGCCCAAACUCCUACGGGAGGCAGCAGUGGGGAAUCUUGCGCAAUGGGCGAAAGCCUGACGCAGCCAUGCCGCGUGAAUGAUGAAGGUCUUAGGAUUGUAAAAUUCUUUCACCGGGGACGAUAAUGACGGUACCCGGAGAAGAAGCCCCGGCUAACUUCGUG